GACGAACGCUGGCGGCGUGCUUAACACAUGCAAGUCGAACGGAGUGGCGAACGGGUGAGUAACACGUGGGUGACCUGCCCUGCACUUCGGGAUAAGCCUGGGUAACUGGGUCUACUACCGGCUCGUGUGGGAUGGGCCCGCGGCCUAUCAGCUUGUUGGGGGGGUAAUGGCCUACCACGGCGGCGACGGGUAGCCGGCCUGAGAGGGUGGACGGCCACAAUGGUACUGAGAGACGGCCCAGACUCCUACGGUAGGCAGCAGUGGGGAAUAUGGCGCAAUGGGGGGACGCCUGAUGAAGCGACGCCGCGUGGGGGAUGACUGCCUUCGGGUUGUAAACGCCUUUCACCAUAGACGCGGUAGAUGGAGAAGAAGCACCGGCUAACUACGUGCCAGCAGCCGCGGUAAUUC
rnacentral:rRNA from 1 species